rnacentral:lncRNA from 1 species
ACAAGUCUCCCAACUUCCUAACAAUCGAAAAAAGAUCUUUAAAAAGUGAGAAAAAUGAGUUUUAAUGUGUUAUGAUGUGCGUCGCGCGCUUCAGGCGCGAAUGGACAAUGACAUCAACGUGAAAUGCGCUUGGGUUGCACCCGGGGAGCGGAUCAACAGUAACAUCAGCGUGAAAUGCGCUUGGGGCGCGCAACAUCUUCUGUCUGGAGUUUAGUGCAUGUGUCUCCUCUUUUGAGUCCGAAUUAGGUUUUGGGGUCUUCAUGACAAUUGUAUCUAUGGAUCGUAGCUUUCAUUUGCAUUUGGU